GUGAAUCAUCGAAUCUUUGAACGCACCUUGCACUCAAUCUCGGUUGAGUAUGCCUGUCUGAGAAUCUUUAGAUUUCUUCACCCUUUGGGGUGAGAUUUGAGCUCUUUCACUAGCAGUGAAUAGCUUUAAAUACAGUGCUUUGUGAUUAACGUUAUAUUGUGACUCACCAAAGUGUAUGAAGGGUCCGCCCAACUUCCUUUAGUGUUAGCAGUAGUUAAUUAUAAUGCCCAACGAAACCGUGGUUUCAAUAGGUUAGUUUACUAGCUUGAACUUUGGUCUCAGAUCAGGUAGGAAGACCCG
rnacentral:misc_RNA from 1 species